UGACCGUGACCGUGACCGUGACCGUGACGGUCUCUGCACCGCUUUCUCGCAGCCCCGGUUUCAGGGCGGAGACUGUCACUCAACCCCCCCCCCCCAACUCCACGGGCAGCGGUGAUGGCCGAGCCCAGUCUCGCGGUGCGGAGGAAGAGCCGCCCUGGCUCUGUCAGCAAGCGGAGCCGCGCCCCGGUGCAGCCUAGCGCCGUCUGCUCGCCGGUGGCUCGCAAGAGAAUGAGCUCCGGUGGCGAGGGACCCCCGGCAGAGACCCCGUGUAGUAAUGAGAGCGAAGAAGAUAUGUUUGGUGACCAUGACAGCUUUUAUGGAAAUGAUUCUUUGCUAGCUGAAGUUGAUGAUAUAGAGAAGAAAUACCUGCAGGAUAAAAAUACAAAUAUUAAAGUAGCUGGAGAAAUCAUAAUUGGGAAUCAGUCAGGAAUUCACCAGGAAAAAAAAGAUAAUUUUUCUAAUUCAGAAAAUAUGGUUGUUCUUAAAGCUGACAAAGAGGAUGCUUUCCAAAUGAAUGAAAAUGACCCGGUGGAUAGCAAUCAAGAACUGACUGAAUCUAUUUUAGAUGACUUGCCAUCAUCACAACUUUUGUAUUUUGAGAAAAUUGGUGAACUUUCUUCUGGUUCUAGAAUAUCUCCAGUCUCAGAAAGGAGGAAUAAAUGUGUGAAUUUUUCCUUGGACAAAAUCAGGAGUCCAUCUUUUUGUCCUGAUACUGAACACAGGAACAGACCUACUGACUUUUCCUCAGAGUCUAAGUGUGAUUUAUUUAAAACUGAGAGUCUUAAAGAUCAUCUGAAAAGUGCUAUGACUGGAAAUGCUAAAGCCCAGACUCUGCAGGUUUCUAAGACCAAGCAGCUUAAAGAAGCUGUUUUAUCUGAAGAGAUUUGUGUUGCUAGGAAAACUAUUGAAUCUUCUUCUGUUGAUAUAGGCCCUUUUUAUGGAUUACCUAGCAAAGUUAAAGAUCUAUUCAGACAAUUUCGAGGGAUUGAAACGCUUUAUGAAUGGCAGCAUGAUUGCUUAAUGUUAGAAUCUCUACAGCAAAGGAAGAAUUUAAUAUACUCAUUGCCAACCAGCGGUGGGAAAACACUCGUAGCUGAAAUAAUAAUUCUCCAGGAAUUACUCUGCAGGCAGAAAGAUGUUCUGAUGAUCCUGCCGUAUGUUGCCAUUGUUCAAGAAAAGUUUAGGGGUUUAUCGAGUUUUGGGAUAGAAUUGGGUUUCCUGGUUGAAGAAUAUGCAGGAAGUAAAGGAAGAUUUCCACCAAUCAAGAGGAGAAUAAAAAAGUCUCUUUAUAUUGCUACUAUAGAAAAAGGACAUGCUCUAGUGAAUUCCUUAAUUGAAACAGAAAGAAUUUAUGACCUUGGUCUCGUUGUAGUGGAUGAGUUGCAUAUGCUUGGUGAAGGAAGUCGUGGAGCAACACUGGAAAUUACUCUUGCAAAAAUUCUUUAUACUAGUAAAAACACUCAAAUCAUUGGAAUGAGUGCAACUUUAAAUAAUGUUGGAGACCUGCAGAAGUUCCUACAAGCGGAGUACUAUACUAAUAAUUUUAGACCGGUAGAAUUAAAGGAAUACGUGAAGAUACGAGACAGCAUUUAUGCAGUUGACAGCAAAACAGAAAAUGGCUUUACUUUUUCACGUCUCCUUAAUUUCAAGUAUUCUAGUAAUCUGGAGAAGGCAGAUCCUGACCACAUCAUUGCACUGGUUACUGAAGUUAUUCCUAAAUAUUCCUGCCUCAUCUUUUGUCCCACUAAAAAGAACUGUGAAAAUGUGGCUUCAAUGUUAUGCAAGUACCUCAAAAAAGAAUUCAGAGCUCACAGGGAGAAAGAGAAACAAGAUCUCAUCAAGAACCUAGAGAAUAUUGGAAAUGGAAGUGUUUGUCCUAUUCUGAAGCAAACAAUCCCUUUUGGUAUUGCCUAUCACCAUAGUGGCCUUACAAAUGAUGAAAGAAAAAGUAUAGAGGAAGCAUAUUCUACAGGUGUCCUGUGUCUACUUGCUUGCACAGCUACUUUAGCUGCUGGAGUCAACCUGCCAGCUAGAAGGGUUAUUCUCAGAGCUCCUUAUGUUGCUAAUGACUUCCUGAAGAAGAACCAGUAUAAACAAAUGAUUGGCAGAGCUGGUCGAGCUGGUAUUGAUAGUGCUGGAGAAAGUAUUCUCAUAGUGCAAGAAAAAGACAAACACUUGGUUCAGGAUUUAGUUAACAGUCCUUUGGAGAACUGUUACAGCAGUCUUCUGCUGGAGUUGACCAAGGGAAUGCAGAGCCUGUUGUUAUCUUUGGUUGGGCUGAAGAUAGCAGUUACCCAUGAGGAAGUCAACAAUUUUAUGUGCAGUACAUUGCUGGGUAUUCAGCAGCAGCUGCUGUCUAAGGAGAAGAGCCUUGCAGAGAUAAUUAAAGAUGGGCUAGAAAAUCUAAUAGAAAAAGGACUUCUAAAAGGAAGAAUAUGUGAGAAGGACCACAAUUCCAAAUGUACACUGACAAUCACACCAUUGGGUAAAGCUACAUACAAAGGGUCUAUAGACUUGGCAUACUGCAAUCUUCUUUACAGAGAACUGAAGAAAGGUUUGGAAGGGCUGAUUCUUGAGAGCAAUCUUCAUCUUCUAUAUCUGGUAACUCCAUAUGAUAUGACUUCUAACUGUAGCCCAGAUUGGAUGAUAUACUUGAAACAGUUCAAUCAGCUAAGUGCAGCAGAGCAAAAAGUAGUGGAUAUUGUGGGAGUACCUGAAAGCUUUAUUACAAAAAAGGCUUCUGGUCAAGCCAUCAGAAAGAAUGUGGACAGUGCUGUGGUAAACAGGCUCUACCUGUCUUUUGUCCUUUAUACCCUACUGAAAGAGACCAAUAUAUGGAGUGUUUCAGAGAAAUUUAAUAUGUCCCGAGGAUAUGUGCAAAAUCUCCUUAAUUCUGCUGCCUCGUUCGCCUCCUGUGUUCUACAUUUCAGUGAGGAAUUGGAAGAAUUCUGGGUUUAUAAAGCCUUGCUGACAGAACUUACCAAGAAGUUGACAUACUGUGUUAAGACAGAACUCAUCCCUCUGAUGGAGGUAGCAGGGGUUCUAGAGGCACGAGCAAAACAGCUUUAUAAUGCAGGGUAUAAAACUUUAGCACACUUGGCUAAUGCAAAUCCAGAAACUCUGGUCAAGAUGAUUGAGCACUUGUCACGACGUCAAGCCAAACAAAUUGUUUCAUCUGCGAAGGUAAGUUAGAAACAAAGUUAUAAAAACCACUUCAGAACUUCAAUAUGUCAAAAGCGGAUGUUUGAAUGACAUUGUGAUCCAAAUACUGGUCGGUAUUAAGAAUAUAUUGAAAUAUUUUCUUGAUGAUAUCAUUUAUCUAAGAUGGUUAAGAGUAAUGAAUUGAGCAAUUGCUGACCUUCAUGCUCCUGAAUGACAGGCAAACUUAAACUUUUCUUAAAACAAUUUGUUACAUACAGGAUAAUGGGAAGUUGUGCUCUUUUUCAGAGAGGAAACAAAGAGCAAAAAUGUUGGACAGCUUGUCUGAUGAAAUGUGGGAAUUAAAUGACUACCUUGAUCUCUGUGCUGAGUCAUUGUAACUGAAAAUGCUCAAUUCUGCCAAUACCUCAGGACUUACCUUACCUUACAGAAAUUCUAGUGGUAGUUGUGAUUACAGAACAGGAUUUUCAGGACUGCAGAAAUGGAAACCAACAAGGUAUAGGGUUAAACUCACCUAUUUAGGCUGCUUUUGUUGUGCCCUGUUAUUCUUUCCUUUCAAAUUGUUUUCCAUUUUGAAUAUGCAUCAUGAGAAGGGCCUUCACUUAAUAUCUGCCUCUAAGGCACACUUAGGACCUUAAGCAUACAAAUAAUCCAAGGGAAAGGAUCUGUAAUAAACAUUGAGUUGUGCCUAAACAAAAAAUACGGAAAGUAUUUUAUUUAUCAAGUAGUAGUAUUUUCUCUCCUCAAUCUUUAUUAAUCUGCUGUUGCAAUGGCAUCAGCUUCAUGUUUGAUUCUGCUAAAAUAGAAAGCAUUCAGUAAAGUGACGGAAUGCCUAUAAUAAAUGAAUAGGUGGUUGGUAUAAAAAUUAUGCAGUCAAUAACAAAAGUCUUGGUUUGUAUAUUCUCGUGGAGUAAAACUACUGACUUUGGAGUUUAUGCACUUAAAAGGUCAUGGCCGUUUAAUGUUGUUGUAGGCUCCUUACUGCUUUUUUGCUGCUCUGUGAGCCAGAAGAAGGGGAUAUAUGCAGAUUCCUCAUCUACAUCAGUGCCAAAUCCAGCAGCCUAGCUUGCUGUCAUGCUCAGAUGUUAAACUGAUGGAGUUUUCCCUAACUGGGAAGUUAAAAGGAUGCUUGCAUGUUGUUACACAUGCUGCUGGGGGACUGUUAUACUCCAACUGCCAGCAGCAAACAGUUCAGGUAGAUUAAACGGUUGCUAAUAUUGGGGGUCCUAUAUGUCUGAUGUAAAAUGCUGUAGAAAGAAAUUUUGUAUAAAGCAAGAAAUUGGCAACUUGGCAGGCACAACUUACAAAUGUGUAUUCCGACAUAGAAAAUAAAUGUUUAAUAAUAAAUAUUUAAGGUUAAAAAUGCUCUUGUUAAGUUCUAGACAAACUGUUUAUGUUCUGUUAAAUUUUGUGUAUUAUGUGAUGGCAGAGCUGAGAAAACAAGCUGUGUACUGUAUAAAUUUUUGUGUUAGUGUUUUUCAUGUGGGUAUACACUAAACAGUAAAAAGUAUUGGUAGUAGUAGGUGUUAGUCCUUUGAGGCAAAGGUACUGUGGUCCUGUGAGCAGCAGCAGCAGUUUUUUAUAGAUCAGAUGCAAGUUUGGAAAGAAAUAUUGGUGUUUUAACCUAUUAGGUUAAACAGCUAAUGCCUCUAUUCAUUUUCUAAUAGUUUUU